GGCCCAGUGGCGGACGGUAUCCGCAUCUGCACUCAGUAAUUGCUUGAGUGGAAAUGAAAUGUACGCAGACAGUCGCUCGUUCGACUCGAGCUUGGGCCG